GAGACCUGCGUUCUUAUUUGCCACCGUGUCCGCAAGGACGAGCGAGCACAAUAAGAAGACUGUUUCGGAAACGGAGAGGAAGGUGCAGGCUACGCCAGGUCUGUACGGCCCGAAUCUCCUGGGCUACACGCGCGCAACAAUGGCUGGGACAAUGGGAUGCAACGCCGAAAGGCGAAGCGAAACCUCGAAACCCAGUCUUAGUUCGGAUUGAGGGUUGCAACUCACCCUCAUGACGUCGGAAUCCCUAGUAAUCAGACGUUAGCAUCGUCCGGUGAAUAU
rnacentral:rRNA from 1 species